AUUGGGAUUUUCCCCUUCAAUCCAUAUGCAAUGGCUAGCAUUGGAGAGUGACCAUGAACAGAGAGAUUGUGCAGUGAGAAUGGAUUUCCAUUUAAGGAGUACAUGUGCUUCUGAAUACAUGAUGAUAAUGUGUUCAAAUUGGAAGAAACCAAUGUAUCUCACAUUAGUAAGACGUGAGAGUGAUUUCUUUGAGUUCAUGGUUGUGUUGUGAUUUUUUAUGAUCUUUGGUGCUCGUUUAUAUUAGAACAUUUCCAGCUUCUUUCACUGUUGAGGAAUGUAAUUUUGCAGGUGGGUGCCAAUGCAAGCAGCCCAGAUGAAUCAAUGUGGCACAUGUGUGUGAGAUCUAGACUGUUCAUCAGCUGCGUUCCAAGUGAAUAUUCCUUGGCCCAAAGAUCCAGCCGACACAUCUGUCAGGUGGGUUAGAAGUGGAGGGAAAAAAAAGGAUGGCUACAUAGUGAGUAGAAGGAUUAACCAACUGUCUGCAACUAACAUCCCCAUCUCGCCCACUUUGAUGAGUGGCCUUAAUUUCAGAGGGUAGGCUCGAGUGUCCACAAUGCUUGCAUGGAUGCAUGAUCAAAGCUGUUCAUCAAAGUGCAACCACAAUAUGGCUUUCGUUGUGUGGAAUUCAGGUCUGUCCACUCAUCUAAUGGCCACACAUUUACUUUAAAUGCUGACCACACUUGUAUGGAGCCUUACCAAUCACAUGCACCAAAAUAGCAUUAGCGUGUGUGGUAAGAGCUUUUUCAUCAGAUGGACCAGUGUGUACAAAACAAAUGGAUGUCUAGAAGAAAACUAUAUCAGCCAAUCCAUUUCUUUUGUAUAGUCUCCAACCUGAGAAGCAAAACUUCCUGAUUUUUUUGCGCAAGAACAUCUAAUCAAUCUGGUUCAUGUAAUGGAAUUAUGGAAAGCUGGGAUCUCAUAUACAUCUUCCAUAUUUGCAUGUGCAGCUAUAUGUGGAUGUGCACAGCUCCACACACCUGUGGGCUUAGCAAACAACUGUUUCAGAUUUACUUAAUUUGGUAUUGAUUUGGUUGGUCCUUGUAUAUGAUAUUUGCCUAUAUUGCAUGCGUAACUCUUUAACUGCAGUAGUGUAAUUUUUGUUGUCGGCAGGGAACUCAACAAGGAGCAAGUACAUUUGGAUUUGCUUGCAGUCAAUCCAUUCUUUGAAACCCAUGUCAGAUGAGAAUAGUAAUCUCACAUCCCAAGCUUAAAUUCGGAUGGUGUUAGUAAUAUUUCUACAAAUUUACAAGUUCUCUUUUUGUUAUGACCCAACCAAAUCUAAUCGGAAGUUCCUUGCCAUCCAAUUUUUUGCCAUCUCUUUCCUAGAUAAUUGAUAUUUAUAUUCUUUCUCUAUCCGUACUUUGCAGGACAUUGACCAUCAGAUUAGAAGUUUGGUUCUGUAGGGUUUUUGGCACAUCUUCCAUCUAUGGUAGAGCUUAUCAAAUUAAAGUUUGUAUCUCACAAUUGCUGGCCCUACUUGUAAGUUGUAACGUGCAUCACGACACUUCAACGCAAUGCACGAGGAACUUAUGUUUUCUCCAUGAUUAGUUUUAGGGGUCAUUUGGAUGCCUGUAAGUUUUAUUAGUUGUAAAGGGUCUAUAGGUGUUUGGAUAAGAAAUUUCAUUGUCAGUUACAAUAUAA